rnacentral:misc_RNA from 1 species
AGCAGGAUCAUUCUUGGAAGAAAUAUUCAUUGUAUUUCUUUUGAAAAUUAAGUAGUACCAUCAUUGCGCUUUAUGUGUGGUGAUUUGGGAAUCCUCCUAAGACAGCGGCAGCGUCAAACCUGCUAGCUACGUCUCCUUCUCACCGUGUCUGUGUCUCGCUUCGGCUCGAGUUAUCAGGCUGGUGGGCGGUUGGGCAACACAGGGCGCGGGGGAUGCUGCUCUCCAACCGUUCGAAACAACGCUCAACGAUGGAUAUCUCGGCUUGGUGAUCGAUGAAGGACGCAGCAAAGUGCGACAAGUGUCAUGACUUGCAGAUACCCGAGAGCUGACAAAUUUCUGAAUGCAAAUUGCAGCCAAGUUAACCUGGCUAUACACUGCAGAGAGUACUUCGCGUAUGCGCUUACUCCAGGGUUUCAACCAAAAGCACUUGACCUUGGGACCUGCACGAUUGAAUCCCUGUUGACGUCUCUGCUCGCAGAGUGCCCAGGUUCUCUCGUGUUAAAGUCAGAAAACCAUUGAGUUUUCCUGAUCAUCUAACUGAGAAAAAGAGUUUAAUCUCUUACCCUCUCACCUCUCACCUCUGCAAUGUAGGAGAACCCGCUGAACUUAAGCAUAUCAUUGAGCGGAGGACAAGAAAACAACUGUGAUUCCCUGAGUAACUGCGAGUGAAUAGGGAGGAGCCUAUGCUUGAACCUGGUGUGGAUGGAAUCGGAAACACCGGAAUUGUAGUGCAAGGGUGUGCAAAGGUUUGUGCUAGUCGGAAGAAUCGCUCAGGAACGAGCAACCAAUGAGGGCUAUCGUCCCGUACCCUCCGACGCAGCCAGGCCAAUUUUGCGCUCCCCAAGAGUCGGGCAGUUUGAGAAUGCUGUCCAAAACCGCAGGUGUACUCCUGCGAAGGCUAAAUAUUCCACCAAGACCGAUAGCGAACAAGUAGUGUGAACGAAAGAUGAAAAGUACUUUGAAAAGAGAGUGAAAAGUCCUUGACAUUGUUGGGCGCAAAGGGUAUGAGACCCAUUGUAUGCUUUUGCUUUUCAGCGAGGGCUGUCAACGCGGGUUUCUGGCUUCUGCAGGAGGUGACCUGCUUUCUCGUUUCGGCGUGAGAGAGACACCUCUGUUGCAGUAAGUUGGAGACUUGGCAGAAUCUCUUAGCCGACGUAUUCUGAUUUUGAUUGUGUUUGUGCUGCCGAAGCGUCUUCUUUCGUGGAGGGCCUUCACGGUACCAGCAUCGUCACCAGGUUGCGUCGAGCUGAGGAAUCGUUGACCAUUUAAUGGUCUCUUACCACCCGUCUUGAAACACGGACCAAGGAGUCUACCGAAUGUGCGAGUGUUAUGGUGAUUGAAACCAAACGACGCACAAUGAAAGUGAAGCCUGUGAACCGCGACGGAGAUCGUCGUUGGUGCAACAGGGCUCGGUCCUUAUCAGAAGAAAGGGAUCUGAAGUUGAGCACAUUCGCUGGGACCCGAAAGAUAGCGAGCUUUUCCUGGGCCGAAGGAAGCCAGGGGAAACCUUGGUGGACGUUCGAAUGCAGUGCUGACGUGCAAAUCGCUUGUCAGAUCUGGGUAAAGGGGCGAAAGACUCAUCGAGCUAUCUAGUAGCUGGUUCCCUC